rnacentral:rRNA from 1 species
CCUACGUGAGGCAGCAGUGAGGAAUAUUGGUCAAUGGGCUUACGCCUGAACCAGCCAAGUCGCGUGAGGGAAGACUGCCCUAUGGGUUGUAAACCUCUUUUGUCAGGGAGCAACGCCGGCUACGUGUAGCCGGACUGAGAGUACCUGAAGAAAAAGCAUCGGCUAACUCCGUGCCAGCAGCCGCGGUACUACGGAGGAUGCGAGCGUUAUCCGGAUUUAUUGGGUUUAAAGGGUGCGUAGGCGGAAUGCCAAGUCAGCGGUAAAAUCGCGGGGCUCAACCUCGCUCCGCCGUUGAAACUGGCGUUCUUGAGUGGGCGAGAAGUAUGCGGAAUGCGGGGUGUAGCGGUGAAAUGCAUAGAUAUCACGCAGAACUCCGAUUGCGAAGGCAGCAUACCGGCGCCCAACUGACGCUGAAGCACGAAAGCGUGGGUAUCGAACAGGAUUAGAUACCCCUGUAGUC